UGUAGCCAGCGCAUCGGUAAGCUAGGAAGUCAAGGACGCUGGAUCUAGUGAUCCCAGUCUCCUCGCCGGGGAUUCGGCUGGCUGGA
rnacentral:pre_miRNA from 1 species